rnacentral:lncRNA from 1 species
UGCAAUUUUAUAGAAACACGAUUGUAUGUUGAGUGGCAGAAAUACAAAUUUAAACUUCUGGAGUAUGCCAAAUUGAAGCCCUCAUUGAAUACUCUAAUGUUUUCCUUAACGAACGAGUUAGAUGAAGACAAGAAAAGUGAACUUGCGGUUGUUUUGUUUGGCUUCUCCCUACCCCACCACAAAAAUCAGUUAAAAGGGCUCGUUCGCUACCGAAUGUGGUUAUGCAAAAUCUUUUCUUUGACUUCAAGGAUGACACAGUUGACUGUGCACUAAAGACACUGAAGGAUCGCGGGGUUAAACAACCGAUGCUGUUGCGCAUAUCUGAUGGAUAUUAUAUAAAGGUUGACAACACAGUUAUAACACUGCCUUGUUGCAGCUGCUUUAUGGAGGCAUUGGAGUUUUUAUUUAUGUCUUUUUAUGUUUUCGCCGUGGAAUAUCCAACUGAAUUAAGAUUUUUUUAUGGAUUUUUGGAGAAAGUCAUGGGACUUAAAUGUACUGUGAAAAGUUCAACCGUU